rnacentral:rRNA from 1 species
GACGAACGCUGGCGGCGUGCUUAACACAUGCAAGUCGAACGGAAAGGCCCUGCUUUUGUGGGGUGCUCGAGUGGCGAACGGGUGAGUAACACGUGAGUAACCUGCCCUUGACUUUGGGAUAACUUCAGGAAACUGGGGCUAAUACCGGAUAGGAGCUCCUGCUGCAUGGUGGGGGUUGGAAAGUUUCGGCGGUUGGGGAUGGACUCGCGGCUUAUCAGCUUGUUGGUGGGGUAGUGGCUUACCAAGGCUUUGACGGGUAGCCGGCCUGAGAGGGUGACCGGCCACAUUGGGACUGAGAUACGGCCCAGACUCCUACGGGAGGCAGCAGUGGGGAAUAUUGCACAAUGGGCGGAAGCCUGAUGCAGCAACGCCGCGUGCGGGAUGACGGCCUUCGGGUUGUAAACCGCUUUCGCCUGUGACGAAGUGUGAGUGACGGUAAUGGGUAAAGAAGCACCGGCUAACCACGUG